AACGUGACGUUCAGGUGUUUCAUGGAGGGUACCGAGCGGCCUAUGGGCCUUUGGGUCCCAUCCUGGAAAGCUGGUCGCAACUGUAGAUGCUAUUGAUCAGAAGAGGGUGUUAGUGGACGGACCCUGCACUCAGUGUCCUCAUUUCAAAUGCAUGCAGCUCACUGGCUUCAUCCUCGAGUUCCCGCACAGUGCCGGCCAGAAGUAUGUACGAAAAGCUUGGGAGAAGGCAGAUAUCAAUGCGAAGUGGGCAGCCACAAGAUGGGCUAAGAAAAUUAGUGCCAGAGAAAGGUUAGCCAAGAUGACAGACUUUGAUCGUCUCCAAGUCAUGAGGCCAAUGAAAACGAGGAACCGAAUAAUCAAGACUGAAGUAAAGAAACUUCAAAGAGCUGCUAUUCUGAAAGCGGCUCACAAAAAGAGCAGCUGUUGCUCAGGCCGCCAUUGUGGCGGCUGCUAAAGCUAAGGUCCCAUCCAUCGAAAAAGGCAACAGGACCAGGCAAGAAGCCCGCAGCCCAGAAAGCUCCUGUGCAGAGGCUGCAGGCCAGAAGGCAGCGCCUCCUGCUAAAGGUUGCAAAGGUCAGAAGCCCGCAGCCCAGAAAGCUCCUGCUCCAAAGGCGGCUGGCAAGAA
rnacentral:lncRNA from 1 species